rnacentral:lncRNA from 1 species
AUGACAAAUACAAAGGGAAAGAGGAGAUGCACCCAAUAUAUGUCCUCUAGGCCUUUUAGAAAAUAUGGAGUUGUUCCUUUGGCCACAUGGUACAUGUGAAUCUAUGAGACAGGUGAUACUGUAGACAUCAAGGGAAUGGGUACUGUUCAAAAAGGAAUGUCCCACAAAUGUUACCAUGGCAAAACUGGAAGAGUCUACGGUAUUACCCAACGUGCUGUUGGCAUUGUUGUAAACAAAUAAGUUACAGGCCAGAUUCUUGCCAAGAGAAUUGUGCCUAUUGAGCACAUUAAGCACACUAAGAGCCAAUAGAGCUUCCUGAAAUGUGUGAAGGAAAAUGUUUAGUAAAAGAAGGAAGCCAGAGAGAAAGGUACCCGGGUUCAAAUUAAGCGCCAGCCUGCUACACCCAGAGAAGCACACUGUGUAAGAACCAGUGGGAAGGAGCCUGAGUUGCUGGAGCCUAUUCCCUGUGAAUUC